rnacentral:lncRNA from 1 species
AAACAUUUUAUUAUUGCUAUUAUUUUCACAGAACCACUGAAGGUGUUUGCAACAUCUGUCAUAGGGAUCAGAAUAACAGAAGCAGGGUAUGCCCUCAAAACCACCUACUAAACCGACGGGCCGUCGCAUGAGUCCCAUGACUUCUGUACCAGAUGAGAAAUUUCUACUUUCCAAGCUAGCAUCCAAUAAAAUCUUGUUCCUCCUGAACCAACGUUUUCCUGCAGUGCAUUUGAGUUCUUUUUCUCUAAUCAGUGAUUAACAGGAAUUUUUCCUGGUACAAGAUGAAUGUGUUUUCUGAGAAUAUUAUGGGGAAAAUUUGGAAACAAA